ACUGGGUUUUCACUGAUGUCACGAACUGUUUCAAAUAUAUGACCACGGUGUAUAAUUCAGUAA
rnacentral:pre_miRNA from 1 species